rnacentral:lncRNA from 1 species
UAACAAUGGUAACAAGUAGCCAUGGCAACAGAUAACAGGUGUGUUUGCUUCAGGAAACAUCACAGGAGGUUCUCAUACACCAACUCUUUGGAUUCAUACGACAGAUACACAAUGAGGACCAACCACGUGCUGACUGGGAGCUGGGAGGACUGCAGUUCAGACUUCAUUCCUGACUUCCCGUACGACACCGACACUUUGGACGAAGAACUGCUCAG